GACGUAGGGCGCGAGCGUUGUCCGGAAUUACUGGGCGUAAAGGGCUCGUAGGCGGCCAACUAAGUCGGAUGUGAAAUCCCCAGGCUUAACCUGGGAACUGCAUCCGAUACUGGAUGGCUUGAAUCCGGGAGAGGGAUGCAGAAUUCCAGGUGUAGCGGUGAAAUGCGUAGAUAUCUGGAGGAAUACCGGUGGCGAAGGCGGCAUCCUGGACCGGCAUUGACGCUGAGUGAGCGAAAGCCAGGGGAGCAAACGGG
rnacentral:rRNA from 1 species